CCUACGGGUGGCAGCAGUGAGGAAUAUUGGUCAAUGGGCGAGAGUCUGAACCAGCCAAGUCGCGUGAAGGAUGAAGGAUCUAUGGUUUGUAAACUUCUUUUAUAUGGGAAUAAAGUGAUGCACGUGUUGCUUUUUGUAUGUACCAUAUGAAUAAGCAUCGGCUAACUCCGUGCCAGCAGCCGCGGUAAUACGGAGGAUGCGAGCGUUAUCCGGAUUUAUUGGGUUUAAAGGGUGCGUAGGUGGGUUGUUAAGUCAGCGGUGAAAGUUUGUGGCUCAACCAUAAAAUUGCAGUUGAUACUGGUAGACUUGAGUACAGUUGAGGUAGGCGGAAUGCGUGGUGUAGCGGUGAAAUGCAUAGAUAUGACGCAGAACACCAGUUGCGAAGGCAGCUUACUAAACUAUAACUGACGCUGAAGCACGAAAGCGUGGGGAGCAAACAGGAUUAGAUACCCCUGUAGUC
rnacentral:rRNA from 1 species